GUUCAGCAUCUUCCUUAAUGAUCUGGUUGAUGGGGCAGAUUCAACAAGGAGAAAUGCAAAGUCCUGCAUAUGGGGAGGAACAACCCCAGGCACCAACAUAUGCUGGGGGCCACUCAGC